UGACAAUAUGUGGGUAAUUGGACUGACAAAACUCAGAAAUUGAGUGUCGUCUAUCAGCUUCUUCCUUCGGACCUACGGGACUGGAGUUAAAUAACGGCACUACAUAU
rfam:Spinacia oleracea cultivar SynViroflay scaffold6213.con0003.1, whole genome shotgun sequence.